ACCGUCCCACCAAGGCCACAACACUCUUAUCAGCACAGGUAUUGAUGCCAAGGGCUUGGACUGGGCUCCUGCACCCUUCCAGAGCCUUCAGGGGCAGCUUUCCUGCUGCAGUUAGUGUUUCUGUUUCCCCAGUUUUCAGUUUCAUAAUCCAGAUUCUCUGAUAAUGGUUGCUUCCAAAGCUCUCCCUAUGUUGUUCCAAGUUGGUAUCUCCCAAAAAUGUAUCCACCCUGAUGUAAACCACUCCUCUUUCUCUUCCCCUUUGCUCUCUUUGGAACUAAUUCUGUAAACCACUCCCCUAUCUCCUCCCCUUUGCCCUCUUUGGAACUGGCUCUAUAAACCACUCCCCUUACUCCUCUCCUAAGGUUAUCCCAUUGGCUGGCUGUUUGUAUCUGCCCGCCAGUUUUGGCCUGUAUAUAAACCACUGCAGAGCUGUGCUCUCUUUUUCUUCUGCAUCUCUGGAAUAAAGACUUUCUGGAAUAUCUGGCAGAGAGGAUCCGUUGACUCUUUUACUUUUCUCCCUGACACUUGUAAAGCUAAUCCCACUGUAGAGCUGCAGCUGUGAAGUUCAGCUCCUGUGAAUUUGUCCUGGAGUUGUUGCAUACACCUUGGCACGGCUGCUGGUGUUCUAAAAGAGCUAGCUAAAGACUCCAGUGGUUGCAUCAGCUGGCGCCCAACGUGAGGCCUCCUGAUCAGUCUGAGACCUCAUGGAAGAACUUGUGCAGUCACUUGCAGGUGACUGCAUUUAAGGACUUGGUCAUUAGCUACCCUGGUAAGAAGCAGGCUGAUUUCUUUCUGGUAGCAGCUCCAGGGAUGGAGACGGUAAUCCCCAAAACACCAGGGACCAUCUUUAGGAGAGGGACCUUGGCUACAGCUCCCCUAAUCCAGGCAGUAGUGGUCCCGAAGCUUGGAUGCUGAUAGAUGACAAACCACUGGGGGAAACAUCGAUGCCUCUAGAACCUGGUGGAAGAAGCCAUGUUCCCCAGGCCAGCCCUCAUUGGAAUUUGUUUCAUCUGAUUCACCCUAAACCAGUCUUCUGAUGCAUGGAUCCUUCCACAACCCAGGAAAAAUGUCUGGGUUAUGUUGGCAGAGGCACUUAAGCAAGACCACAUCUACUUGUCUACAGCAGCAGUAGAAAAUCCUAUGUCAACCUGCCUAAUGGGGGUCCCGUUUAAACCCGAGGAGUACCCUGAAAGAACAUUAAAAAACCGUAAAUAGCAAAGAAAGCACCCACAUAGUUUACUGAACACCAAGCAUGACCUAUGAACCAUUUAGAGCCCCCUCAUGCUGUGGUGAGUGUGGGUAGGCAAGCUGCUUGACAUGAACAGUGAACCACAAGAACCUGAAGUUUUAGGGUCUUCAAGUGCAACCUAUUGCAUUCAGUUUGUCUACGAACCAAGGCACCACAUGGAACAGUACACCAAUGUCCUCCAGUAUAAAAAAGAUUGCCAGGACAACAGGUGGUGUGAUAAGAUUGAGUAUGUUAAGAUGGUGUCCACAGAGGACCACCGACCAAAGAGGCUAGGAAAAGGUACUUUUCUCAUUUGUGGGGAUAGAGCUUGAGCAGGUAUCCCCUCUUGCCUGCUCGGAGGUCCGUGCACAUUUGGGCUGUUUAUGCUGUUCAUUCCCAACCAAACCCAAAUUAUGAAUUAACAACAGAAAAACAAUUUGAGAAUCCAAAAGUGAAGCAUUGAUAAUUUAGAAAAACACUGUUAUUUAUUGGUCUAGGCUAAAAAGAGCUACUUUAUUUUUACCAUGGGUUGCAGCUGCUAAAGCACAAGGUGAAUUGGGCCACCUUGAGUGUUGGGUAGUGAAACAAGCCAGUUUAACAACAACCGCAAUCAGUGACCUCCUAGCAGACAAAGAAAUCACUAGGAAAGCUGCUCUACAAAAUUGGGCAGCUAUUGACUUCCUGCUGCUGCUGCAUGGACAUGAAUGUCAAGAGUUUGAAGGUCUCUGCUGCCUCAACCUACAUCAAAGGCACCAGACGUCCGCGCAUUCUUGCGAGAAAUGCAAGAAUGGAUAACUGAUAUCAAAAAAGAAUCUGAGGACUGCCAGGGGAACAUCUUCUAAGGGUGGGGGUUGACUGGGUGGCUCUCUUACAUUGUUAAAUCUAUUGUUUGGUUUAAUGUAAUUGUUUUGCUUAUUGUAAUACCCUUUGCUAUUUUAACAAGAUGUUGCCUUUCCACUGCUGCACCCCUCACCUUUUCCCCUCCUGAAAUUAAUGUUACUGAGAGCCCUGAUGCUCCUUACUCUGAAAACCCCUAUACCAAUAAGCCCGAUACUAAGGAUUCUCCCGAUGACAGCCUCCCAACCAAAUGGUGGUACGAGUUAUGCCCAAAAUCAGAGUGUAAUCCCGUUCCUUCCUCUUCUUAAAAAAGAUGGGGGAGAUAUUGCAGUUAGUGUUCGUGUUACCCCAGUUUUCAGUUUUGUAAUCUGGAUUCUCUGACGGUGGCUGCUUCCAAAGCUCUCCCUAUGUUGUUCCAAGUUGGUAUCUCCCUAAAUUGUAUCCACCCUGAUGUAAACCACUCCCCUUUCUCCUCCCCUUUGCUCUCUUUGGAACUGGCUCUAUAAACCACUCCCAUCACUCCUCCCCUAAGGUUAUCCCAUUGGCUGGCUGUUUGUAUCUGCCCGCCAGUUUUGGCCCGUAUAUAAACCACUGCAGAGCUGUGCUCUUUCCCUUUUGCUUCUGCAUCUCUGGAUUAAAGAUUUUGUGGAA